rnacentral:rRNA from 1 species
UAAGCGACUAAGCGUACACGGUGGAUGCCCUGGCAGUCAGAGGCGAUGAAGGGCGUGCUAAUCUGCGAUAAGCGCCGGUAAGGUGAUAUGAACCGUUAUAACCGGCGAUACCCGAAUGGGGAAACCCAGUGUGACUCGUCACACUAUCAUUAACUGAAUCCAUAGGUUAAUGAGGCGAACCGGGGGAACUGAAACAUCUAAGUACCCCGAGGAAAAGAAAUCAACCGAGAUUCCCCCAGUAGCGGCGAGCGAACGGGGAGGAGCCCAGAGCCUGAAUCAGCAUGUGUGUUAGUGGAAGCGUCUGGAAAGGCGCGCGAUACAGGGUGACAGCCCCGUACACAAAAGCGCAUGUGCUGUGAGCUCGAUGAGUAGGGCGGGACACGUGGUAUCCUGUCUGAAUAUGGGGGGACCAUCCUCCAAGGCUAAAUACUCCUGACUGACCGAUAGUGAACCAGUACCGUGAGGGAAAGGCGAAAAGAACCCCGGCGAGGGGAGUGAAAAAGAACCUGAAACCGUGUACGUACAAGCAGUGGGAGCCCCACCACCAAAGCAUUCAACACACAAAACAAGCGGUGAAUGCUUUGGGGUGGGGUGACUGCGUACCUUUUGUAUAAUGGGUCAGCGACUUAUAUUCUGUAGCAAGGUUAACCGAAUAGGGGAGCCGGAGGGAAACCGAGUCUUAAUUGGGCGUUAAGUUGCAGGGUAUAGACCCGAAACCCGGUGAUCUAGCCAUGGGCAGGUUGAAGGUUGGGUAACACUAACUGGAGGACCGAACCGACUAAUGUUGAAAAAUUAGCGGAUGACCUGUGGCUGGGGGUGAAAGGCCAAUCAAACCGGGAGAUAGCUGGUUCUCCCCGAAAGCUAUUUAGGUAGCGCCUCGUGAAUUCAUCUCCGGGGGUAGAGCACUGUUUCGGCUAGGGGGCCAUCCCGGCUUACCAACCCGAUGCAAACUGCGAAUACCGGAGAAUGUUAUCACGGGAGACACACGGCGGGUGCUAACGUCCGUCGUGAAGAGGGAAACAACCCAGACCGCCAGCUAAGGUCCCAAAGUCAUGGUUAAGUGGGAAACGAUGUGGGAAGGCCCAGACAGCCAGGAUGUUGGCUUAGAAGCAGCCAUCAUUUAAAGAAAGCGUAAUAGCUCACUGGUCGAGUCGGCCUGCGCGGAAGAUGUAACGGGGCUAAACCAUGCACCGAAGCUGCGGCAGCGACGCUGAUGCGUUGUUGGGUAGGGGAGCGUUCUGUAAGCCUGCGAAGGUGACCUGUGAGGGUUGCUGGAGGUAUCAGAAGUGCGAAUGCUGACAUAAGUAACGAUAAAGCGGGUGAAAAGCCCGCUCGCCGGAAGACCAAGGGUUCCUGUCCAACGUUAAUCGGGGCAGGGUGAGUCGACCCCUAAGGCGAGGCCGAAAGGCGUAGUCGAUGGGAAACGGGUUAAUAUUCCCGUACUUGGUGUUACUGCGAAGGGGGGACGGAGAAGGCUAUGUUGGCCGGGCGACGGUUGUCCCGGUUUAAGCGUGUAGGUGUGUGUUCCAGGUAAAUCCGGUUCACUUUAACACUGAGGCGUGAUGACGAGGCACUACGGUGCUGAAGCAACAAAUGCCCUGCUUCCAGGAAAAGCCUCUAAGCAUCAGGUAACAUCAAAUCGUACCCCAAACCGACACAGGUGGUCAGGUAGAGAAUACCAAGGCGCUUGAGAGAACUCGGGUGAAGGAACUAGGCAAAAUGGUGCCGUAACUUCGGGAGAAGGCACGCUGACACGUAGGUGAAGUGAUUUACUCACGGAGCUGAAGUCAGUCGAAGAUACCAGCUGGCUGCAACUGUUUAUUAAAAACACAGCACUGUGCAAACACGAAAGUGGACGUAUACGGUGUGACGCCUGCCCGGUGCCGGAAGGUUAAUUGAUGGGGUCAGCGCAAGCGAAGCUCCUGAUCGAAGCCCCGGUAAACGGCGGCCGUAACUAUAACGGUCCUAAGGUAGCGAAAUUCCUUGUCGGGUAAGUUCCGACCUGCACGAAUGGCGUAAUGAUGGCCAGGCUGUCUCCACCCGAGACUCAGUGAAAUUGAACUCGCUGUGAAGAUGCAGUGUACCCGCGGCAAGACGGAAAGACCCCGUGAACCUUUACUAUAGCUUGACACUGAACAUUGAGCCUUGAUGUGUAGGAUAGGUGGGAGGCUUUGAAGUGUGGACGCCAGUCUGCAUGGAGCCGACCUUGAAAUACCACCCUUUAAUGUUUGAUGUUCUAACGUGGACCCGUAAUCCGGGUUGCGGACAGUGUCUGGUGGGUAGUUUGACUGGGGCGGUCUCCUCCUAAAGAGUAACGGAGGAGCACGAAGGUUGGCUAAUCCUGGUCGGACAUCAGGAGGUUAGUGCAAUGGCAUAAGCCAGCUUGACUGCGAGCGUGACGGCGCGAGCAGGUGCGAAAGCAGGUCAUAGUGAUCCGGUGGUUCUGAAUGGAAGGGCCAUCGCUCAACGGAUAAAAGGUACUCCGGGGAUAACAGGCUGAUACCGCCCAAGAGUUCAUAUCGACGGCGGUGUUUGGCACCUCGAUGUCGGCUCAUCACAUCCUGGGGCUGAAGUAGGUCCCAAGGGUAUGGCUGUUCGCCAUUUAAAGUGGUACGCGAGCUGGGUUUAGAACGUCGUGAGACAGUUCGGUCCCUAUCUGCCGUGGGCGCUGGAGAACUGAGGGGGGCUGCUCCUAGUACGAGAGGACCGGAGUGGACGCAUCACUGGUGUUCGGGUUGUCAUGCCAAUGGCACUGCCCGGUAGCUAAAUGCGGAAGAGAUAAGUGCUGAAAGCAUCUAAGCACGAAACUUGCCCCGAGAUGAGUUCUCCCUGAGACUUUAGGUCUCCUGAAGGAACGUUGAAGACGACGACGUUGAUAGGCCGGGUGUGUAAGCGCAGCGAUGCGUUGAGCUAACCGGUACUAAUGAACCGUGAGGCUUAA